rnacentral:rRNA from 1 species
GAAAGUAAAGAAGGGCGCAUGGCGGAUGCCUUGGCUCUCGGAGGCGAUGAAGGACGUGAUAAGCUGCGAUAAGCUUUGGGGAGGUGCAAAUGACCUUUGAUCCAGAGAUUUCCGAAUGGGACAACCCAAUAUCUUGAAGAGGUAUUAUCUUACUAUGUAAGAGGCUAACGCAGGGAACUGAAACAUCUUAGUACCUGCAGGAAAAGAAAAUAAACAAUGAUUCCCCCAGUAGUGGCGAGCGAACGGGGAACAGCCCAAACCAUCCAUGUUACGGCAUGGGUGGGGUUGUAGGACUACGCCGUUGCAUGAAGACAUCAGAGAAGAACUUUCUGGAAAGAAAGACCAUAGAGCAUGACAGUUGCGUAUUCGAAUGUUGUCGAAGCAUAGUAGUAUCCUGAGUAGCGCGGAGCACGAGGAAUUCUGCGUGAAUCUGCCGGGACCAUCCGGUAAGGCUAAAUACUCCCGAGAGACCGAUAGCGAACCAGUACCGUGAGGGAAAGGUGAAAAGCACUUCGAACAGAAGAGUGAAAUAGUUCCUGAAACCGUGCGCCUACAAGCGGUCGGAGCUCGUUAAUGAGUGACGGCGUGCCUUUUGCAUAAUGAACCUACGAGUUGCCUUUGCCGGCAAGGUUAAGUGUGACGACACACGUAUCCGAAGCGAAAGCGAGUCUGAAGAGGGCGUAUAGUCGGCAGUGGCAGACGCGAAACCAAGUGAUCUACCCUUGGCCAGGUUGAAGGCUGGGUAACACCAGCUGGAGGACCGCACCAAUAAGCGUUGAAAAGCUUCUGGAUGAGCUGAGGGUAGGGGUGAAAGGCUAAUCAAACUUGGAGAUAGCUCGUACUCCCCGAAAUGCAUUUAGGUGCAGCCUUGCGGGUUACUGAUGUGAGGUAGAGCGACUGAUAAGAUGCGAGGGCUUCACCGCCUAUCAAGUCUUGACAAACUCCGAAUGCGCAUCAGUUCUACCGCAGGAGUGAGGGCAUGGGUGCUAAGGUCCGUGCCCGAGAGGAGAAGAAUCCGGACCACCUGCUAAGGUCCCGAAAUGACAGCUAAGUUAAACUAACGAAGUCUGACUGCUAAGACAGCUAGGAUGUUGGCUUGGAAGCAGCCAUUCAUUUAAAGAGUGCGUAACAGCUCACUAGUCGAGGAGUCGGGCGUGGAUAAUAAUCGGGUAUGAAGUUGUCUACCGAAGCAGUGGGAUCAUUAAUAUGAUCGGUAGGGGAGCAUUCCAGUCAGCGUCGAAGGCGUACCGUGAGGUAUUCUGGAGCGUCUGGAAAAGCAAAUGUAGGUAUAAGUAACGAUAAAGGGGGCGGGAAACCCCCUCGCCGAAAGACUAAGGUUUCCUGAUCAACGCUAAUCGGAUCAGGGUCAGUCGGGUCCUAAGGCUCAGCCGAACGGCGAUGCCGAUGGCAGAAACGGUUAAUAUUCCGUUACUACCUUCAGGAGUGACGUGGAGACGCAGUAGUGACAGUGCCGCCAUCUGACGGAAUAGAUGGUUGAAGGGUGUAGGAGUCGAUCAUGGCAGGCAAAUCCACCAUGAGAUCCGAACCUGACAGUAUGCCGCGUCCUUCGGGACAAGGCAAUAGUGCGCGUAAGCAUGCUGCCGAGAAAAUCCGCUAAACUUAAUCCUGGAGGUACCCGUACCGCAAACGGACACACGUAGUCGGGAUGAAUAUUCUAAGGCGCUUGAGUGAUUCACGGUUAAGGAACUAGGCAAACUGACCCUGUAACUUCGGGAUAAAGGGUCCCUACCCUUUUAUGGGAGGGCGCAGAGAAUCGGUCCAGGCAACUGUUUAACAAAAACACAGGGCUGUGCCAAAUCGAAAGAUCCAGUAUACAGCCUGACACCUGCCCGGUGCUGGAAGGUUAAGAGGAGAUGUCAUCGAUAAGAGAAGCGUUGAAUUGAAGCCCCAGUAAACGGCGGCCGUAACUAUAACGGUCCUAAGGUAGCGAAAUUCCUUGUCGGGUAAGUUCCGACCUGCACGAAUGGUGUAAUGAUCUGGACGCUGUCUCAACCGUGAGCU